rnacentral:rRNA from 1 species
GACGAACGCUGGCGGCGUGCUUAACACAUGCAAGUCGAACGAGAGGAGAAGGAAGCUUGCUUCUUUCGAAUCUAGUGGCAAACGGGUGAGUAACACGUAAACAACCUGCCUUCAGGAUGGGGACAACAGACGGAAACGACUGCUAAUACCGAAUACGUUCCUUAGGUCGCAUGACUUAGGGAAGAAAGGGUGGCCUCUACUUGUAAGCUAUCGCCUGAAGAGGGGUUGGCGUCUGAUUAGGUAGUUGGUGAGGUAACGGCCCACCACGCAGACGAUCAGGAGCCGGUCUGAGAGGAUGAACGGCCACACUGGAACUGAGACACGGUCCAGACUCCUACGGGAGGCAGCAGUGGGGAAUCUUCCGCAAUGGGCGAAAGCCUGACGGAGCAACGCCGCGUGAGUGAUGACGGCCUUCGGGUUGUACAGCUCUGUGAUCGGGGACGAACGGUCAGCAGACGAAUACUCUGCUGAAGUGACGGUACCCGAAUAGCAAGCCACGGCUAACUACGUGCCAGCCGCCGCGGUAA